rnacentral:rRNA from 1 species
CCUACGGGAGGCAGCAGUAGGGAAUUUUCGUCAAUGGGCGCAAGCCUGAACGAGCAAUGCCGCGUGAACGAGGAGGGUCUUCGGAUCGUAAAAUUCUGUUGAAGGGGAAAAAGAGCGGAGAGAGGAAAUGAUUGCUGAUUGAUAUUACCCUUCGAGGAAGUCACGUCUAACUACGUGCGAUCAGCCGCGGUAAUACGUAGGUGGCUAGCGUUAUCCGGAAUGGUUGGGCGUAAAGGGUGCGUAGGCGGCCUGCUAAGUCUGGAGUGAAAGGUACCGGCUCAACCGGUACAGGCUCUGGAAACUGGCGGGCUAGGGAGCAGGAGAGGGCGGUGGAACUCCAUGUGUAGCGGGAAAAUGCGGAGAUAUAUGGAAGAACAACAGUGGCGAAGGCGGCCGCCUGGCCUGUUAACUGACGCUGAGGCACGAAAGCGUGGGGAGCAAAUAGGAUUAGAUACCCUUGUAGUC